GCAGUCGAGCGGUAGCACAGAGAGCUUGCUCUCGGGUGACGAGCGGCGGACGGGUGAGUAAUGUCUGGGAAACUGCCUGAUGGAGGGGGAUAACUACUGGAAACGGUAGCUAAUACCGCAUAACGUCGCAAGACCAAAGUGGGGGACCUUCGGGCCUCAUGCCAUCAGAUGUGCCCAGAUGGGAUUAGCUAGUAGGUGGGGUAAUGGCUCACCUAGGCGACGAUCCCUAGCUGGUCUGAGAGGAUGACCAGCCACACUGGAACUGAGACACGGUCCAGACUCCUACGGGAGGCAGCAGUGGGGAAUAUUGCACAAUGGGCGCAAGCCUGAUGCAGCCAUGCCGCGUGUAUGAAGAAGGCCUUCGGGUUGUAAAGUACUUUCAGCGAGGAGGAAGGCAUUAAGGUUAAUAACCUUGGUGAUUGACGUUACUCGCAGAAGAAGCACCGGCUAACUCCGUGCCAGCAGCCGCGGUAAUACGGAGGGUGCAAGCGUUAAUCGGAAUUACUGGGCGUAAAGCGCACGCAGGCGGUCUGUCAAGUCGGAUGUGAAAUCCCCGGGCUCAACCUGGGAACUGCAUUCGAAACUGGCAGGCUAGAGUCUUGUAGAGGGGGGUAGAAUUCCAGGUGUAGCGGUGAAAUGCGUAGAGAUCUGGAGGAAUACCGGUGGCGAAGGCGGCCCCCUGGACAAAGACUGACGCUCAGGUGCGAAAGCGUGGGGAGCAAACAGGAUUAGAUACCCUGGUAGUCCACGCCGUAAACGAUGUCGACUUGGAGGUUGUGCCCUUGAGGCGUGGCUUCCGGAGCUAACGCGUUAAGUCGACCGCCUGGGGAGUACGGCCGCAAGGUUAAAACUCAAAUGAAUUGACGGGGGCCCGCACAAGCGGUGGAGCAUGUGGUUUAAUUCGAUGCAACGCGAAGAACCUUACCUACUCUUGACAUCCAGAGAACUUAGCAGAGAUGCUUUGGUGCCUUCGGGAACUCUGAGACAGGUGCUGCAUGGCUGUCGUCAGCUCGUGUUGUGAAAUGUUGGGUUAAGUCCCGCAACGAGCGCAACCCUUAUCCUUUGUUGCCAGCGGUUCGGCCGGGAACUCAAAGGAGACUGCCAGUGAUAAACUGGAGGAAGGUGGGGAUGACGUCAAGUCAUCAUGGCCCUUACGAGUAGGGCUACACACGUGCUACAAUGGCAUAUACAAAGAGAAGCGACCUCGCGAGAGCAAGCGGACCUCAUAAAGUAUGUCGUAGUCCGGAUUGGAGUCUGCAACUCGACUCCAUGAAGUCGGAAUCGCUAGUAAUCGUAGAUCAGAAUGCUACGGUGAAUACGUUCCCGGGCCUUGUACACACCGCCCGUCACACCAUGGGAGUGGGUUGCAAAAGAAGUAGGUAGCUUAACCUUCGGGAGGGCGCU
rnacentral:rRNA from 1 species